UCACACUCUUCUUUAUCUAUCAUCACCUCCAUCUCCAGAACUUUUCAUCAUCCUGUACUGAAACUCUGUACCAACUAAACGCUAACUCCCAUUCUUUCCUCCCCCGGCCUCUAGAAACCACUAUUCUGCUUUUGUCUCUGUGAAUUUGACUGCUCUGAGGAUCUCAUAUAAGCAGAA